rnacentral:rRNA from 1 species
GGUUUGACUCACGCCUGAUUGAACGCUGGCGGGAUGCUUUACACAUGCAAGUCGAACGGCAGCACGGACUGGUCUGGGUGGCGAGCGGUGAACGGGUGAGUAAUGUAUCGGAACGUGCCUAGUAGCGGGGAUAAUCACGCGAAAGCGUAGCUAAUACCGCAUACGCCCUUCGGGGAAAGUGUACCUUCGGGCCUCUGCACUAUUAGAGCGCCGAUAUCGGAUUAGCUAGUUGGUGGGGUAACGGCUCACCAAGGCGACGAUCCGUAGCUGGUUUGAGAGGACGACCAGCCACACUGGGACUGAGACACUGCCCAGACCCUACGGGAGGCAGCAGUGGGGAAUUUUGACAAUGGGGGAAACCCUGAUCCAGCCAUCCGCGUGUGCGACAGUCUUCGGGUUGUAAAGCACUUUGGCAGGAAAGAAACGGCACGGGAUAAUACCCCGUGCAACUUAUUUGCACUGCAGAAUACACCGCUAACUACGCCAGCAGCCGCGGUAAUACGUAGGGUGCAAGCGUUAACGGAAUUACUGGGCGUAAAGCGUGCGCAGGCAGGCGGUUCGGAAAGAAAGAUGCAAAUCCCAGAGCUUAACUCGAAUCCAUUUUUUAACUACCGAGCUAGAGUGCGUCAGAGGGAGGGGAAUCGCGUGUAGCAGUGAAAUGCGUAGAUAUGCGGAGGAACACCGAUGGCGAAGGCAGCCUCCUGGGAUAACACUGACGCUCAUGCACGAAAGCGUGGGAGCAAACAGAUUGAGAUAUCUGGUAGUCCACGCCCUAAACGGGAUAAGUCAACUAGCUGUUGGGGUUUUCCGGGCCUUGGUAGCGCAGCUUAUCGCGUGAAGUUGACCGCCUGGGAGUACGGUCGCAAGAUUAAAACUCAAAGAAUUGAUGGGGACCGCCGGUGGAUGAUGAUUAAUUCGAUGCAACAAAACUUUACCUACCCUUUGACAUGUUCAAUCCGGAAGAGAUUUGUGAUGCUCGUAAGAGAACCGGAACACAAGGGUGCUGCAUGGCUGUCGUCAGCUCGUGUCGUGAGAUGCUGGGUUAAGUCCCGGCACCGAGCGCAAACCUUGUCAUUAGUUAUACGAAAGGGCACUCUAAUGAGACUGCCGGUGACAAACCGGAGAAGGUGGGACACGUCAAGUCCCUACGGCUGCCCUUGCGGUAGGGCUUCACACGUCAUACAAUGGUCGGGACAGAGGCCGCCAACCCGGCGAGGGGGGAGCCAAUCCCAGAAACCCGGAUCGUAGUCCGGAUCGCAGUCUGCAACUUCCGACUGCGUGAAGUCGGAAAUCGCUAGUAAUCGCGGAUCAGUGGCUGCCGCGGUGAAUACGUUCCCGGCCUUGUACACACCGCCCGUCACACCAUGUGGGAGGCCGUACCAGAAGUAGUUAGCCUAACCGUAAGGAGGGCGAUUACCACGGAUUCAGCGACUGGGGUGAAGUCGUAACAAGGUAG